CUACGAAGGGUGCGAGCGUUAAUCGGAAUUACUGGGCGUAAAGCGCGCGUAGGCGGUUGGAUAAGUCGGAUGUGAAAGCCCCGGGCUCAACCUGGGAAUUGCAUUCGAAACUGUCCGGCUAGAGUAUGGUAGAGGGAAGCGGAAUUCCACAUGUAGCGGUGAAAUGCGUAGAUAUGUGGAGGAACACCAGUGGCGAAGGCGGCUUCCUGGACCAAUACUGACGCUGAGGUGCGAAAGCGUGGGGAGCAAACAGGAUUAGAAACCCGAGUAGUCC
rnacentral:rRNA from 1 species